rnacentral:rRNA from 1 species
GGGCGUAAGAGCUCGUAGGCGGUUUGACACGUCUGCUGUGAAAACUGGGGGCUCAACCCCCAACCUGCAUUGGAUACGGUCUGACUAGAGUGUGGUAGGGGUGAUGGGAAUUCCUGGUGUAGCGGUGAAAUGCGCAGAUAUCAGGAGGAACACCGAUGGCGAAGGCAGGUUUCUGGGCCACCACUGACGCUGAGGAGCGGAAGCGUGGGGAGCAAACAGGAUUAGAUACCCUGAUAGUCCACGCCGUAAACGGUGGGCGCUAGAUGUGGGGACCAUUCCAUGGGUUCUGCGUCGAAGCUAACGCAUUAAGCGCCCCGCCUGGGGAGUACGGUCGCAAGACUAAAACUCAAAGGAAUUGACGGGGGCCCGCACAAGCAGCGGAGCAUGCGGAUUAAUUCGAUGCAGCGCGAAGAACCUUACCUAGGCUUGACAUAUAGAGGAGAAGUGCAGAGAUGUGGAGUCCGUAAGGGCUCUAUACAGGUGGUGCAUGGGUUGUCGUCAGCUCGUGUCGUGAGAUGUUGGGUUAAGUCCCCGCAACGAGCGCACCCCUCGUUCUAUGGUUGCCAGCGCGUAAUGGGCGGGGGACUCAUAGGAGACUGGCCGGGGUCAACUCGGAGGAAGGU